CCUAGGUGUCACGGACACUGAUCUGGAACACGGGAUGCGACACGAUUUCUUUCAAAAAAUUAGGACACGAACCCGACAUGAAUACCGCUAAUAAAAUAUAAUAUUAUUAAUAUAAUAAUAUAUAUUUAUUAUAUAUAAAAUAUUAAUUUUGGUAAAAUAUUAUUAUAUUUCUCGUACUAAUAAAAGUUAGUAAAAUUUUCAUUAAUAGUUUAUAUAUUUAAAAAAAAAAUCCUCCACAUACAUAAUUUAUUUUAUAUUGUCAAAAAAAAUUAUACGCAUUUAUCAAAAAGUUAAAAAUAUUUAUCGUCUUACAUUAUAUAUGCAUAAAAAAAUAAAAUAAAAAAUAUAUAUUUCAAAAAAUGCUCACAUUAACAUCGGACACGUAUCCGACAUGAACAUCUGAGGCUUAUAAACGUGUUCGUGAUACAUAGGACGGAGUAAAUAGUAAAAAUAAAUAUUUCCACAGGGAUCGAAUUUACGACGUCACAAAACAACAGAAAUUUCAAUAAAGGGAUCU
rnacentral:lncRNA from 1 species